AACGAACACUGGCGGCAUGCCUAACACAUGCAAGUCGAACGAGACCUUCGGGUCUAGUGGCGCACGGGUGCGUAACGCGUGGGAACCUGCCCUUAGGUUCGGAAUAACUCCCCGAAAGGGGUGCUAAUACCGGAUAAUGUCUUCGGACCAAAGAUUUAUCGCCUUUGGAUGGGCCCGCGUUGGAUUAGCUAGUUGGUAGGGUAAAAGCCUACCAAGGCGACGAUCCAUAGCUGGUCUGAGAGGAUGAUCAGCCACACUGGGACUGAGACACGGCCCAGACUCCUACGGGAGGCAGCAGUGGGGAAUAUUGGACAGUGGGCGAAAGCCUGAUCCAGCAAUGCCGCGUGAGUGAUGAAGGCCUUAGGGUUGUAAAGCUCUUUUACCCGGGAUGAUAAUGACAGUACCGGGAGAAUAAGCUCCGGCUAACUCCGUG
rnacentral:rRNA from 1 species